rnacentral:rRNA from 1 species
UCCGUAGGCGGGAAUCUAAGUCAGUGGUGAAAUCUUGCAGCUCAACUGUAAAAUUGCCAUUGAUACUGGAUUUCUUGAAUUAGUGUGAAGUGGUUAGAAUGUGUAGUGUAGCGGUGAAAUGCAUAGAUAUUACACAGAAUACCAAUUGCGAAGGCAGAUCACUAACACUAUAUUGACGCUGAGGGACGAAAGCGUGGGGAGCGAACAGGAUUAGAUACCCUGGUAGUCC